UACAGGGGGUGCAAACGUUGCUCGGAAUUAUUGGGCGUAAAGCGCGCGUAGGCGGCUACUUAAGUCGGAUGUGAAAGCCCCUGGCUCAACUGGGGAAGUGCACCCGAAACUGAGUGGCUUGAGUGCGAAAGAGGGUCGCGGAAUUCCCGGUGUAGAGGUGAAAUUCGUAGAUAUCUGGAGGAACACCGGUGGCGAAGGCGGCAUCCUGGACCAACACUGACGCUGAUGAGCGAAAGCCAGGGGAGCAAACGGG
rnacentral:rRNA from 1 species